rnacentral:misc_RNA from 1 species
UCGAGGACUACUGGCCUGUUCCCGAUGCUACCUAUUCCAGAUAUUCCAGGCACUGCAGACCGGUAGGUUUGGGCAGGCUUUAUCUGGAAUCACUGGUGCCACAGGCCUGUGGGCAGCGGCUGUCCAUAUGUCUCUUGAAGAGUAAGUCCAUGCGGAUCCAAAACUGCGCACGGUCGGAUGUGACUCAAUGGGCAUACUGUGUGCAGCAGCUAGAAAGAAGACGCGGAGAACCCCCUAACCUGUUAGGGGGUAAUUCGCGUUAGAGGCGUGGGAGGGAAACACACCGGGUGGUGAAAGGCGGGUUUGUUUUGCUACGUCAUUUGAGCCCUGAGGGGCUCCAAAUAGCCGGGGCGAAAAAAACCCGGGUUUGGCAACCCGUGGUUCGUCCCACCUAGAGUUGGAUCUGGCUCAGGAUGAGCGCUGUCGGCCUGCUUAAUACACGCAAGUCGAGCGAACUGACUAGAAGCUUGCAUUCUAUGACGUUAGCGGCGGACGGGUGAGUAACACGUGGGCAACCUGCCUGUAAGACUGCGAUAACUUCGGGAAACCGAAGCUAAUACCGGAUAGGAUCUUCUCCUUCAUGGGAGAUGAUUGAAAGAUGGUUUCGGCUAUCACUUACAGAUGGGCCCGCGGUGCAUUAGCUAGUUGGUGAGGUAACGGCUCACCAAGGCAACGAUGCAUAGCCGACCUGAGAGGGUGAUCGGCCACACUGGGACUGAGACACGGCCCAGACUCCUACGGGAGGCAGCAGUAGGGAAUCUUCCGCAAUGGACGAAAGUCUGACGGAGCAACGCCGCGUGAGUGAUGAAGGCUUUCGGGUCGUAAAACUCUGUUGUUAGGGAAGAACAAGUACGAGAGUAACUGCUCGUACCUUGACGGUACCUAACCAGAAAGCCACGGCUAAUUACGUGCCAGCAGCCGCGGUAAUACGUAGGUGGCAAGCGUUAUCCGGAAUUAUUGGGCGUAAAGCGCGCGCAGGCGGUUUCUUAAGUCUGAUGUGAAAGCCCACGGCUCAACCGUGGAGGGUCAUGGAAACUGUGGAACUGAGGCAGAGGACGCAUCC